rnacentral:rRNA from 1 species
AGUGAACGCUGGCGGCAGGCCUAACACAUGCAAGUCGAGCGGCAGCACGGCAAUAGCAAUAUUGUGGGUGGCGAGCGGCGGACGGGUGAGGAAUGCAUCGGGAUCUACCCUGUCGUGGGGGACAACGUAGGGAAACUUACGCUAAUACCGCAUGAUCUGGAGACAGCAAAGCCGGGGACCUUCGGGCCUGGCGCGAUGGGAUGAGCCGAUGUCCGAUUAGCUAGUUGGCGGGGUAAAGGCCCACCAAGGCGACGAUCGGUAGCUGGUCUGAGAGGACGACCAGCCACACUGGAACUGAGACACGGUCCAGACUCCUACGGGAGGCAGCAGUGGGGAAUAUUGGACAAUGGGGGCAACCCUGAUCCAGCCAUGCCGCGUGGGUGAAGAAGGCCUUCGGGUUGUAAGCCUUUGUGUCGGAGAAAGUACGUCGGUGAACAUCCGGCGAUGCUGACGGUACCGCAAGAAUAAGCACCGGCUAACUUCGUGCCAGCACG